rnacentral:rRNA from 1 species
GCUUAACGCGAAGAACCUUACCUGGGUUUGACAUACACGGGAAGCCUGCAGAGAUGUGGGUCUCUUUGAUACUCGUGUACAGGUGGUGCAUGGCUGUCGUCAGCUCGUGUCGUGAGAUGUUGGGUUAAGUCCCGCAACGAGCGCAACCCUCGUCCUAUGUUGCCAGCGGGUUAUGCCGGGGACUCAUAGGAGACUGCCGGGGUCAACUCGGAGGAAGGUGGGGAUGACGUCAAGUCAUCAUGCCCCUUAUGUCCAGGGCUUCACGCAUGCUACAAUGGCCGGUACAAAGGGCUGCGAUGCUGUAAGGCGGAGCGAAUCCCAAAAAGCCGGUCUCAGUUCGGAUUGGGGUCUGCAACUCGACCCCAUGAAGUCGGAGUCGCUAGUAAUCGCAGAUCAGCAACGCUGCGGUGAAUACGUUCCCGGGUCUUGUACACACCG